rnacentral:rRNA from 1 species
ACGGCCCAGACUCCUACGGGAGGCAGCAGUGGGGAAUAUUGGGCAAUGGGCGCAAGCCUGACCCAGCAACGCCGCGUGAAGGAAGAAGGCUUUCGGGUUGUAAACUUCUUUUGUCGGGGACGAGUAGAAGACGGUACCUGGCGAAUAAGCCACGGCUAACUACGUGCCAGCAGCCGCGGUAAUACGUAGGUGGCAAGCGUUGUCCGGAUUUACUGGGUGUAAAGGGCGCGUAGGCGGACUGUCAAGUCAGUCGUGAAAUACCGGGGCUUAACCCCGGGGCUGCGAUUGAAACUGACAGCCUUGAGUAUCGGAGAGGAAAGCGGAAUUCCUAGUGUAGCGGUGAAAUGCGUAGAUAUUAGGAGGAACACCAGUGGCGAAGGCGGCUUUCUGGACGACAACUGACGCUGAGGCGCGAAAGUGUGGGGAGCAAACAGGAUUAGAUACCCUGGUAGUCCACACCGUAAACGAUGGAUACUAGGUGUAGGAGGUAUCGACCCCUUCUGUGCCGCAGUUAACACAAUAAGUAUCCCACCUGGGGAGUACGACCGCAAGGUUGAAACUCAAAGGAAUUGACGGGGGCCCGCACAAGCAGUGGAGUAUGUGGUUUAAUUCGAAGCAACGCGAAGAACCUUACCAGGUCUUGACAUCCGAUGCAUAGCACAGAGAUGUGUGAAAUCCUUCGGGACAUCGAGACAGGUGGUGCAUGGUUGUCGUCAGCUCGUGUCGUGAGAUGUUGGGUUAAGUCCCGCAACGAGCGCAACCCUUACUGUCAGUUACUACGCAAGAGGACUCUGGCAGGACUGCCGUUGACAAAACGGAGGAAGGUGGGGAUGACGUCAAAUCAUCAUGCCCUUUAUGACUUGGGCUACACACGUACUACAAUGGCGUUAAACAAAGAGAAGCAAGACCGCGAGGUGGAGCAAAACUCAGAAACAACGUCCCAGUUCGGACUGCAGGCUGCAACUCGCCUGCACGAAGUCGGAAUUGCUAGUAAUCGUGGAUCAGCAUGCCACGGUGAAUACGUUCCCGGGCCUUGUACACACCGCCCGUCACACCAUGAGAGCCGGGGGGACCCGAAGUCGGUAGUCUAACCGCAAGGAGGACGCCGCCGAAGGUAAAACUGGUGAUUGGGGUGAAGUCGUAACAAGGUAGCCGUAGGAGAACCUGCGGCUG